rfam:Asian citrus Psyllid, Diaphorina citri - Florida Strain, whole genome shotgun sequence.
GCUCCCAUGGCGUAGUGGUCACUGCGCUCGCCUUGCACGCGGGAUAUCCGGGUUCGAUUCCCGGCGGGGUCA